CACCGGAUCCCAUCAGAA
rnacentral:snRNA from 1 species